CAGCCGCCACGGGUAAUACAGAGGGUGCAAGCGUUAAUCGGAAUUACUGGGCGUAAAGCGCGCGUAGGUGGUUUGUUAAGUUGGAUGUGAAAGCCCCGGGCUCAACCUGGGAACUGCAUCCAAAACUGGCAAGCUAGAGUACGGUAGAGGGUGGUGGAAUUUCCUGUGUAGCGGUGAAAUGCGUAGAUAUAGGAAGGAACACCAGUGGCGAAGGCGACCACCUGGACUGAUACUGACACUGAGGUGCGAAAGCGUGGGGAGCAAACAGGAUUAGAUACCCCUGUAGUCCCUGUCUCUUAUA
rnacentral:rRNA from 1 species